rnacentral:rRNA from 1 species
GACGAACGCUGGCGGCGUGCUUAACACAUGCAAGUCGAACGAUGAAGCCUUUUGGGGUGGAUUAGUGGCGAACGGGUGAGUAACACGUGGGCAAUCUGCCCUGUACUUUGGGAUAAGCCUUGGAAACGGGUCUAAUACCGGAUAUGACUGGCCUUCGCAUGGGGUUGGUUGAAAGUUACUGGCGGUACAGGAUGAGCCCGCCGGCCUAUCAGCUUGUUGGUGGGGUAAGUGCCUACCAAGGCGACGACGGGUAGCCGGCCUGAGAGGGCGACCGGCCA